rnacentral:lncRNA from 1 species
CAUGAGAACUCCCAUUUGGGGAGAGUUGCUGUAACUGAGAGCUGGUCUUACAGGAUCAAGUCACUGACAAGCACAGUGAACGAACAGAGGAGCCUCGUUGACCCUCACAUAUGUUGUUUUGCCUUGGUUCUGUCCCAUUUGAAAAUUGCAGGUACUUAUUCUUCCUGGAAAAUUGCACCUAUCCUUGGCAUGGCUAAACACAGGAUGGAAUCCUGAUGCAAAUUAUUCCCGCCAGUACAUCUCCGAGUGCUGGGUGCUGAAUGAGGAAUGGGAAAGGCUUCUUUACUGGGUAAAGUGGCUCAGAGCUGCUGUGGGGUGCUGAGUUCUGGGUGAGUCACUUCCCUCUCUGUUUCCCGUAAUGGAGAAAGAGAAGAUGAGCUGUUCGUAAAUUCCCAACAGGACAGUUUUCCCCAACUACUGACACCAUGCUAUUUGUUUUGGAGAGUGAUCCACUUCUCCAGGAUUUCUUUCAUGACUGCUUUGAAGCAUGGCUCCAGUUUUGGCAUUUUGGAUGACUGAAGCUUUUCAGUUUAACUGUUAUAAAUGCCCUGCCUUAGUCACCCAAAAGAUUCAGUUUGGGGUAGCAGAGAGGAGGGGGAGCAAGGACCUCACACAAGAACUGGCCUAAACUCUGAGGAGCUGUAAAGCCAAUGGGAACACGAUGCAGACAAAGUUGAACAUGACUUGACUGUGCUGGGGUUCCUGAAGAUAACAACCUGUGUCCAGUGUGGUGGGACUGAGGCCUUCAUCCAGUUUGGUCCCCUCUAAACCCCCCCAUUUCAGCGUGCAGGGAGCAUGCCCUGCAGUACAGGCUCUCUGUGGUAUUCCCUGAAAUCCCUUCAGCAGUGCAUUUGCUGGAAAAUGCCAAGGCUUGGAAUUUAUCAGCCUGAGUAAGUUUUCUCCUGCAAUGCUGUUUUCUUCCUGAGAUCAUACCCCUGAAUAAAAUUCCUACCUAGCCUUGACUGGGCGUUUUG